rnacentral:rRNA from 1 species
CGACGAAUCUUCCGCAAUGGGCGCAAGCCUGACGGAGCGACGCCGCGUGUGGGAUGAAGCGUCUUCGACGUGUAAACCACUGUCAGGGGGCAGAACCAAUGAUCGCCCCCAAAGGAAGAGACGGCUAACCCUGUGCCAGCAGCCGCGGUAAGACAGGGGUCUCGAGCGUUAAUCGGAAUUACUGGGCUUAAAGGGUGCGUAGGCCGGCCCGCAAGUGCUUUGUGAAAUCCCCCGGCUCAACCGGGGAAC